ACCUGCAAACUGCUUCUUGGUCUUGGUC
rnacentral:piRNA from 1 species